UCUACGGGGUGCAGCAGUGGGGAAUAUUGGACAAUGGGCGAAAGCCUGAUCCAGCCAUGCCGCGUGUGUGAAGAAGGCCUUCGGGUUGUAAAGCACUUUCAGUGGGGAAGAAAGCCUUGGGGCUAAUACCCUCGAGGAAGGACAUCACCCACAGAAGAAGCACCGGCUAACUCCGUGCCAGCAGCCGCGGUAAUACGGAGGGUGCGAGCGUUAAUCGGAAUUACUGGGCGUAAAGCGCGCGUAGGCGGUCUGAUAAGCCGGUUGUGAAAGCCCCGGGCUCAACCUGGGAACGGCAUCCGGAACUGUCAGGCUUGAGUGCAGGAGAGGAAGGUAGAAUUCCCGGUGUAGCGGUGAAAUGCGUAGAGAUCGGGAGGAAUACCAGUGGCGAAGGCGGCCUUCUGGACUGACACUGACGCUGAGGUGCGAAAGCGUGGGUAGCAAACAGGAUUAGAUACCCCUGUAGUC
rnacentral:rRNA from 1 species